GUGGUAGCAGUGGCGACGAAGGCGAUCGGUGGUGGUUGAGCUUGCGAGUGGUGCAGUGUGUACGAUAGAGAGCAAAGGUAUACGUACGUGUGGAGAGCUGUGGUUACGCGUUUUCGUCUCUCGUGCGGCGGGGGCUGCCCUUCGCAAGAAUCCGCGUCACGCAUGGCACCGCUCCGUGCUUGAGACGCCUUUUUCUCGGAGACAGAGAGAGCAAGAUCAUACGCGGCCGGGGCACAGCCUCUUCGCGUGCUUCCUCUCGUUUUGCCGUUUUCGAGCGCCGAAGAGACAGAGUCGCGAACGAGCCGACAGAAUGACCAGCCAGGAGACGCGCGAGCAAGGGAUUAGUAAUGUAGAAACCGAGUACCUCGAGAUCAACUCGAAAGGAGCCUGGGCGAUUCUCUAUCAGCAUAUACGUAACGAAUGCAGCAAUUUUACAUAUACAUGCAAUGAAUCAAAGAAGCCACAAAACAAAAAUUUGAACCGUUAUAGAGAUGUUUUGCCAUAUGACCAUAGUAGGAUUAUUCUCAAACGAGGCCCAUGUGAUUACAUCAAUGCUAACCUUAUACGGGUAGAUCGUGCCCAUAGACAAUACAUUCUUACACAAGGACCAUUAGAAAAUACUGCUGGCCACUUUUGGCUAAUGGUAUGGGAACAAAAUUCUAAAGCUGUGUUAAUGUUAAAUAAAAUAAUUGAAAAGAGUCACGUUAAGUGUUAUCAGUAUUGGCCUCUUGGUGAUUCAAUGAUUAGUACUAUGAGGUUUCCGAAUGUUGGUAUAAAAGUAAAAUACAUCAGUAAAACAGAAUCAUCAGAUUACACAACUAGAAUUUUAAAGUUAACUGAUUUGGAAACAACAGAAAGUAGAGAAAUAUUACAUUUUCAUUAUACCACAUGGCCAGACUUUGGAGUUCCACAAAGUCCAACAGCUUUUCUACAUUUUUUAACAGAUGUUAGGCAGUCAGGAGCAUUAGAUCAAAAUGUUGGUCCACCUGUAGUACAUUGUUCUGCAGGAAUCGGUAGAUCAGGAACAUUUUGUUUAGUUGAUACCUGCCUUGUUUUGAUUGAAGAAAAUGGGUUAAAUUCUGUAAAUGUUAGGGAUGUGUUAAUAGAAAUGAGAAGACAUAGAAUGGGUUUAAUUCAAACAUCAGAUCAAUUAAGAUUUUCAUAUGCUGCUAUCAUUGAAGGAGCAAAACAAUUGCCAUCCAACAACAAUAUUAACAAUGAAGUAGUAACAAAUCAUUAUGAUGUGGUAAGUAACAUUAGUAAUUCUUCAAAUGAAGAGGAAGAUGAACCACCUCCUUUGCCACCUCCAAGAGGUGAAUCCUUAACACGUAGCAUGAUGGCAGAUUUAACUUCAAAUCCAAUAACAAGAAAUGAUGAAUUAGGUGGACCUCCUGAUAAACCAUUGCCCAGGGAACCAUCAAUUGUUACAGAAACAUCUAGUGCCAGUCCAUAUACGGGUGCAAAUUCUACAGUAAUUACAAAUAAUUUACAUGAACAGAAUUCUGAUGGUGUUGUAGUGCCUAAUGAUAAUACCAGUGACGGUGAAAACUCUUUACAGACAAUUAGUCCUCCGUCCAGUCCUGAUGUGAAAAACGAAGUACGUCAUCGUUAUAAAGAGAAAAAAGAACGUUUGGCAGCACAAGUACGAGAGAUGAAACGUCGUCAAAAAGAGACUGAAGAAUGGCAGAAGCUCAAGAGGUCAUUAUUUAAACCUCUUACAAUAGGCAUAGGCGCUGCAAUUGUUGGUGGGGGUAUUAUAGCAAUCUGUGGCUAUUUGUACAUGCGUGGUUAGGACCAAAUUGUUUCUCUGUCACACAUGUACGUGGACCAUCGAGUUGUCAGUGAUACUAGAUCUAAAAGCGAAACUACUACCGAAAGCAGCGAAACCGUACACGAGGAGGCCGAGCCUGCAAAAUAAAAAAAU
rnacentral:misc_RNA from 1 species